GCCAAAAUUACAAGGGUCACUGUUCCUUUCACAGAUCAGCGACAGCUGUGCGCAAGCAUCCAUGCGCAAACGACCGUUAGGCACCAUCUGGAGUAUCCUUACAAUGUUGAAAACCUGGGUGACAUGGUACUACACCAGACGCUAAACAUCAAACCUAUGGAAUUUCUCGGAUAUACAAGGGAACAAACACGUCCUAAAGAUGUAGCACGAGCUCCACUUGAUACAGAUGCCCAUCAAACCUCAUGCCCAAGGCUUCUGAAGGGUGUACAAGGCCAUCAACCAUUCCACCAAAAAUAUACACACAGCAACCAGAAGCAUCUACACAUGCCCCAUGGAAGGAUCGGUAGUUUGGGCACUGACCAUCAAUUCUUAGUUUCUUCCACAUCUUUCUGGUCAUUUUCUUGGAACCUGACUCGUAUUGAAGUAGAGCUGGUGUAUCCAAGAUCCAAAAGUCAUCCUUUCGUCGCCUUUGUGAGUCCUCCCCGCCAUACACAAGGACCUUGCCACCCAACACAAGUAUCGCUGAAUGCCCAACCCGUGGAAAAGGAAGCUCACCAAGAGCACUAGACAAGCCAUACUUUAGCUCCUUCCAUUUGGGGUAUUGAUCACUGAUAUCAAACAGCCAGACAUCAUUAAGAACCUCAAAUUCCGAUCCUCUACCACCAAAUAAUACCAUGCAUGUGCUGCCAAUCCAAGUUAAAGAGUGGCCAGAACGAGGUUGAGGCAAAGGCCAUGUGUUGCCUAUUUGGUGCCAGCUGCCAGACUGAAGGCCAUUUGAGAGAUCAAGAAGCCAUGUAUCACCAAGCCGGCUUCCAUAGAGCCCUAUCCCACCAUGAAUGACAAUAAACUUGUCAUCCACACAGCAGGCUGCAUGAGCUCCACGUGGAGGUGGUGCAAGCCGACCUACCUCCAGCAAUCUCCAUGAGAUCCGUGGCCUUCGAGGCUCUUCACAGAUGAUUUGACCAGUCCAUGUAUCAUUCAAACGCUGUCCCUGAUCUGUGAUUCCACCAAACAAGACUAAUG
rnacentral:misc_RNA from 1 species